rnacentral:rRNA from 1 species
UUUAAGCUUCCUACGGGAGGCUGCAGUGGGGAAUCUUGCGCAAUGGGCGAAAGCCUGACGCAGCCAUGCCGCGUGAAUGAUGAAGGUCUUAGGAUUGUAAAAUUCUUUCACCGGGGACGAUAAUGACGGUACCCGGAGAAGAAGCCCCGGCUAACUUCGUGCCAGCAGCCGCGGUAAUACGAAGGGGGCUAGCGUUGCUCGGAAUUACUGGGCGUAAAGGGAGCGUAGGCGGACAUUUAAGUCAGGGGUGAAAUCCCGGGGCUCAACCUCGGAAUUGCCUUUGAUACUGGGUGUCUUGAGUAUGAGAGAGGUGUGUGGAACUCCGAGUGUAGAGGUGAAAUUCGUAGAUAUUCGGAAGAACACCAGUGGCGAAGGCGACACACUGGCUCAUUACUGACGCUGAGGCUCGAAGAGCGUGGGGAGCAAACAGGAUUAGAUACCCUUGUAGUCGAAUUCUU